rnacentral:lncRNA from 1 species
CUACUGAGCCGGCCGCAGAAAUUGCAGCCGCUCAGCUUCUACCCCCUCCUGCCUUUCCUUCCUCUUUCCUUACUUCCUUCCCUUCCCUCGGCUUCCCGCUCUUGCCUCACUCUCAGCGGCUGCCUUCGCCCCUGUCUGCAGACAGCGCCGCUGGAUGCUCCCAGCUGGACUUCAACCCCACUCCUCUCAGUCCCUCUCCCCACUGCCUUCCAGACGCGCCUCUUCCCCGCCCCGCGCCCCUCUCUCCUCUCCCACCCCUGCCCCUCUCCGCGGCGCUCACCCUCCUCAGUCCCAGUUUCUGAAAGGACUCAGCUGAGAAAGGACAACUGGGUUCCGCUUUCCUUAACCCUACACCCUUUAGCUGGAUGCUGUCAGAGGCGAUGGAGAAACGCAAAGGCUACUAGACGCAACAAUAGAAUUACCAUAUUGUUUUUCCUGGUUUGAAAGGACCAGAUGGAAAGAAACUGGGCAAGCCAAUGAAAGUCUCUGGGGAUCAUGGGAAUUGAGUGUCUAUGAAAACCAUAUUCCAGACAAGAAUAUAGUCUAAGGUUUAUGGGACUCCCCAGUACUCUCCAUGUAGAGUCUAAUGUAGAAUCCAGGAGUGCACAGAAAAGUCACUGGAUGACACAGCAAGAGGCAACAUUUUGGAAGCAGAGGGCAACUCUCACUGGAAACCAAAUCUCCUGGCACCUUGAUCUUGGAUUUUACAGCCUCCAGAACUGAUAGCUGGGAGGCAUUACAUAGUCAUGUGCGAGGUCAAAACUGAGUCACCACCACAACCAAGUUCCAGCUGGCAAGAAGAGGAAAAAUAACACAGAGGAGUUAUGACCAGUGUUGUAAGGAUCUGGCCUAGAAAUGGCAUGCAUCUCUUCCACUAAUAUCCUAUUGGUAAAAAUGUAGUCACAUGGGCACACCACCUAUCUGCAUGGAAGGCUGGGAAAUGUUGAUCGGUAGGGCAGCCAUAUGUGUAGGAAGGAGAAAACAGAAUUUGGUGGAUACCUAGUAGUCUCUGCCAUACCCUUGACCAGAAAUUUUUCUUCUAAAGAAUUUAAUUCUAAAAGUUAUAGACAUUCCCAAAGAUAUACCUGCAAGCAUCACAGCUUUGUGUAUAAUUGCAAAAGUUGAAAUCAACAUGAAUGCCCAAAAUAGUGAAUUAUUUAAACAGAUUAUUACCCAUAUUAUGAAGAAAUACUCUGCAACUCUUAAAAAUAAAUGUAAUGUGCCAGGCGCAAUGGGAUAUGCCUGCAGGCCCAGCUACACGGGAGGCCAAGGCAGGAGGAUCACUUGAAAUCAAGAGUUCAAGUCUAGCCUAGACAACAUAGUGAGACUUGGUCUCUAAAAAAGAAAAAAAAAAAUAAAACUGAUGUAAUGAAUAUAUAAUUACAACAAAAGAGGUCUAACACUAUAGUAGAAAAGUUUGGGGCACUCAUCCCAUUCAUAAUUAUUUUACAUUUAAAUUACUGUUCCUACUUAAGUGGUGAGCUUGGUAACCAUUUUCAUAUCAGGUGAUACUGCUGCAGUAAUCAUAGCUGUUUGAAUCAGGAAUAAUCCCAAUCACAUUUUCUCUUAAUCGUUUAUUAUACUGGGCAUUGGGGUUGCAAGAUAAUGCACAGUCCGAGCUCAAUACAUGUCUUCAUGUACCUGUAUGUAAAUCCCACUUUUAUUCUAAAAUUCUUUGAAUAUUUUGUUUCUUGGAACCCAAUGAUCCUAAGAAAAUUAUGUACUUUUACCUGAAAAUUAAAACCAAUAUUUAUAAAAAGUGUAUAUGCAGUAUGAUACCACUUUUAAAAAAAGAUAAAUUUAUAGAAAAAAGUUUAUAUGACUGACAACAAUGUCUCUGAGUGGUAGGAUUACAGUUAAUUUUUAUUUUCUUCAUUCUACUUAUCUUUAUUUUCUGAACUUUCUACAAUGAACAUGUUUUAUUUUUACUUUUGUUAAAAUAAAUAACAUUUAAUUUGACGGAAAAUUCUAAAAAUCAACAUUUGGUAACUUAAAUAUUCAUUGGCACAUGAUUCUGUGCCUGUUUCUGGGGGUCAUUCCCAUGAGAAGAGCAGGUAGAACUUAUGAGAAUAGAGCAGUCGAAAUAUUAUAGGUUUCAUAUUUUACGGCUUUAUUGAAAACAUUGAUAUAUUGAAUAUUCAUAAAUUUUAAUUUAACUUUCUUUUAUAAUCCUUAAUGUGAGGCUAAGGUAUAAGGAGAAAGGAGAUUGGUAAGGAAGUGUGAUACAUAUUGAAUCAGGUGUCAAGGUACCAUUUGUGCCUGGAUCUGACCAAUAGACCAAGGUAAAAAUCUCAAAGAAUGAGACUUGUAAUGAGAAUGCCACAAACUUGAAUACCUUAUGCACAAAACACAAACAUUGUUAUGCAUAAUGUACAUGAACCCUGAAACAAAGAUAAUGAUUUGGACCACCCAACUGAAGUGGCAUGUUAUGUUUUUGGCAUGAACAAAAGAAACAAGAGAGAAAAAAAUCAAAAUAAUUAAAAUAAAUUGUUAGAGAAAAGUUACUUUAAAAAUAGCUAUAACGCUUUGCAAUUUCAGUAACAGUUCUGCCUCUGAUGCAAUGUAAAACAUGUAUUAGACAUUCAGGCUCCACAAUAAAUUUUAAUGAGCACUACAAAUUUAGAAUAUAUAAAAAUAUCAGUAACCUAUGAAUUCAUCAACAUAACUCACUUUUCAGUUAAGUUAGGCUGAGUUGAAAUUCUACUAAGUUUUCCCAUAUUCUUGAUAAAGGCUAAAUUUGAAAUAAUUUAUUUAGAUGACUAAUUGGCAAUUUGAUAGUAGUUACAUUUUAUGUAACACUUGAUAUAAUAACCCAAAUUAAUUAGCUCAAUAUUAUCUUCUGUGGUUUAUUGAUCCAAAAGUACAUAUUUGUUAUGUAAACUUAUACUAUGUAAACUUGAAUUAGUUUUUUGCUUCCUUGAAUUAAUAAAGCCCAUUAAUGCAAAUCUAAGCCUUCAUAGACUUUUCCAAUCCUUAGUUAAAUAUUAAAAACUGAGUAUUGUAGUUAUUUGCUAGGUAUAAAAGGUGACUCAGAGUAGAGAGUAAGAUGUCAGCAAAUAGACAAUAAGAUGUCAGCAAAAGUGCCUCAAAUUUUAACUGCGUCAAGUUAAGGGCAUUGUAAAUACUGUAGUUUUAUGUAGCUUGCAACUUCUACUGAAAUGAGUUUAAUCAUGUCUUUCACAUAGCUGAAGUUUGUGUCAAGAUUUAAGCUGAUUUUCUCAUUCUUAUCAAAGUCUCACCUGGGGGUAGGGAGGGGUAGGCCUACCUCCCACCUCUAUACUAUCAUUUUAGGAACAGACAGGCAUAAAUCUGUUCAUAUGGUAGAACACAUGAUGUUAGAGUAUAUUUUGUUGAAUGCUAUGGAAUAUUAAUAUAAUUAAUUCUAAAAUAUCACCUAAAAUAUGUCAACUGAAGAUCUGACUGUACUAAAUAUGAAAAAUAAAGCAGCACAUACUUUC